AGUACUAGCAAAAUGUUUUCCUGGAUUAGGUCAUUAUAAUCUUAGGUUAAAAUUGCUAUAAGCAGUUCAGGCAAAAAAAUGCAUAUUGCUUUGUUUUAAAAGCAAACAAUG